rnacentral:rRNA from 1 species
CGCGGCCUAUCAGCUUGUUGGUGAGGUAACGGCUCACCAAGGCGACGACGGGUAGCGGGUCUGAGAGGAUGAUCCGUCACAUUGGGACUGAGACACGGCCCAGACUCCUACGGGAGGCAGCAGUGGGGAAUAUUGCGCAAUGGGCGGAAGCCUGACGCAGCGACGCCGCGUGGGGGAUGACGGCCUUCGGGUUGUAAACCUCUUUCAGCAGGGACGAAGCGCAAGUGACGGUACCUGCAGAAGAAGCACCGGCCAACUACGUGCCAGCAGCCGCGGUAAUACGUAGGGUGCAAGCGUUGUCCGGAAUUAUUGGGCGUAAAGAGCUCGUAGGCGGUUUGUUGCGUCGGCUGUGAAAUCCCGAGGCUCAACCUCGGGUCUGCAGUCGAUACGAGCAAACUAGAGUGUUGCAGGGGAGACUGGAAUUCCUGGUGUAGCGGUGAAAUGCGCAGAUAUCAGGGGGAACACCGGUGGCGAAGGCGGGUCUCUGGGCAACGACUGACGCUGAGGAGCGAAAGCGUGGGGAGCGAACAGGAUUAGAUACCCUGGUAGUCCACGCCGUAAACGUUGGGCGCUAGGUGUGGGGCUCAUUCCACGAGUUCCGUGCCGCAGCUAACGCAUUAAGCGCCCCGCCUGGGGAGUACGG